UACGUAGGGUGCAAGCGUUAAUCGGAAUUACUGGGCGUAAAGCGUGCGCAGGCGGCUUUGCAAGACAGAUGUGAAAUCCCCGGGCUUAACCUGGGAACUGCAUUUGAUACUGGCGUGCUUGAGGACUGGAGAGGAGACUGGAAUUCACGGUGUAGCAGUGAAAUGCGUAGAUAUCGUGAGGAAGACCAGUGGCGAAGGCGGGUCUCUGGACAGUUCCGUGACACUGAGGCACGAAGGCCAGGGGAGCAAACGGG
rnacentral:rRNA from 1 species